GAAGGGAUGGAGAUGGGGAGAAUCGAAGUCAGUUUCCAGGGAGGUAAUAGAGAAGGGGACUUUUUAUGCAAGAGGGGCACUGGUCAAAGGCAACAAAAUAUAUACCUAUGAAAAGAAAGAGCCAAAAAAGUUUAACACAAAUGAGAGAAGUGUCUUGAGACCUCGCUCUCGAAAGAAUUCAAUUUAUAGGAAGGGGGAAAUACAGAAGCAGGCAGGGAGUUCCAGAGUUUACCAGAAAAAGGGAUGAAAGAUUGAAAAUACUGGUUAACUUUUGCAUUAGAGAGGUGGACAGAAUAGGGGUGAGCAAAAGUAGAAAGUCGUGUGCAACGAGGGCGCGGGAGGAUGGAAGGCAUGCAGUUAGCAAGAUCAGAAGAACAGUUGACGAGAAAAUAGCGAUAGAAGAUAGCAGGAGAUGCGACAUUGCGGGGAAGAGAGAGAGGCUGAAGACAUUCAGUUAGAGGAGAGGAGCUGGUAAGACGAAAGGCUGGUCUGGUCUGGGGGGACAGUCUCGUUAGGGGGACAGUAACCUGAUGAAGCGAGCAAACACGCGGUUCAAGAUUGUCCCAGAAACGAGUAAUCAUUGGUGACCGUCCUUAGCUCGGGACAGGACCAUCAGCUGGGCGGCGGCGGUAGUGGUGGCGACGGCGGUUGUGGUGGUAAGGUUAAACGAAGAGGAAGAAAAGGAAGAGAAGUAAAAGGAAAAGCCAGAGGAGGAGAAAGAAAAAUAGAAGAAGGCGCGAGAGAAGGAGAUGAGGAGGAGAAGGAGGAAAGCGCUAUAGAAGAAAGAAGAGCACCUCCCGCCUCGCGCCUUCCUUCCUCCCGUCUCCCGGAGUGUACACACCUGCACUCUUGAGGCUGCUGGCGAGAAGAACUGUGUCCCAAGCCCUCCACCAUGGCCGCCGCUCCGAAAGUUUGCGUCCGUCGCGCGAAGCUCAUCUUCCUGAUGGAGAACGCAGGCAAGGACGUCUUGACCUUCGUGUUGAAGCGCGGCGCGCUGAACGCCCCCGCCACGCCGCCAGGCCAGUCCCUCAUUGACUACCUUGACAACCUCCCUCAAGGCUCGACAGCCAACUAUGGCAGGAUGAGUAACAAACAAAAGAAAGCAGCACUGAACCACAGUUCAGUGCUGCUUAUCCUCUGACGUGACUACUUUAUUCAUUAUUUUUU